UACGAAGGGUGCAAGCGUUACUCGGAAUUACUGGGCGUAAAGCGUGCGUAGGUGGCCUGUUAAGUCUGAUGUGAAAGCCCCGGGCUCAACCUGGGAAUUGCAUUGGAUACUGGCAGGCUAGAGUGCGGUAGAGGGUAGUGGAAUUCCCGGUGUAGCAGUGAAAUGCGUAGAGAUCGGGAGGAACACCAGUGGCGAAGGCGACUACCUGGACCAGCACUGACACUGAGGCACGAAAGCGUGGGGAGCAAACAGGAUUAGAUACCCUGGUAGUCC
rnacentral:rRNA from 1 species